rnacentral:rRNA from 1 species
UACAGAGGGUGCCAGCGUUACUCGGAAUUACUGGGCGUAAAGCGUGCGUAGCCGGUUAUGUAAGUCGGGUGUGAAAGCCCCGGGCUCAACCUGGGAAUGCCAUUCGAGACUGCAUAGCUAGGGUGCGGAAGAGGGAAGCGGAAUUUCCGGUGUAGCGGUGAAAUGCGUAGAUAUCGGAAGGAACACCAGUGGCGAAAGCGGCUUCCUGGUCCAGCACCGACGUUCAGGCACGAAAGCGUGGGGAGCAAACAGG